GCUUAUACUCGACCGUCAGCGGCACGUGCGAUCGCGCGAGCUCGUUCGCGAGCGAGCGCGGUCACGAAGCCCUGACGAGUAGGAGGGUCGCGGCGGUGAGCGCAGAAGGGCUGGCCGCGAGGYCGUCUGGAGCCGCCGUCGGUGCAGAUCUUGGUGGUAGUAGCAAAUACUCCAGCGAGGCCCUGGAGGACUGACGUGGAGAAGGGUUUCGUGUGAACAGCCGUUGCACACGAGUCAGUCGAUCCUAAGCCCUAGGCGAAAGCCGAUGUCGAUGCGGUGUAGUUUUUACGAUAGAUAGAUAGAGAGACGAAAUUCGACGACGACUGCUACGACGUCGACGACGACGAAAUAAACGUUAAUUCGUCGUCGCCGUUAAGUGGUCGACGUCGUCGUUAACUCUCUAAUUAAUAAUAACGCGAGAGCACACACCCGUCGGGCGAAAGGGAAUCCGGUUCCUAUUCCGGAACCUGGCAGCGGAACCGUCAAAAAGUCGGGC
rnacentral:rRNA from 1 species